AUGCUCGUAGGGUCCGAUCAUGACAACAUGGAUGAUGACGAGGAAGGGAGCAUGUCGUCUGCUAUACCUAGCGAGGUUGAUCCAUUAGAAUUUGUUUACACAAACAUCCCCGACACCACUCACAUCCUGAAGCUCGACGCAAACUGCAAACACUGCAAGGCCAAAAAGUUUGUCUCUGAGACCGACGGGUUCUGCUGUCGCAAUGGCCAGAUCGAACUUAAACAACCGGAGCCAAUCCCAGAGCUGAUGAGGCUAUGGUCAAGCAUGGAUGCAGAUUCUAGACAUUUUCGGGAGAACAUACGGUUCUUCAACGGGCAUUUCGCCUUCACAACCAUUGGCGUUAGCCUUGAUGAGAACUAC
rnacentral:rRNA from 1 species